GUAGCCCAGGCUGGUCUCGAACUCCCAUUGAUCCUCCUGCCUUAGCCUCCCUGAGUGCUGGGAUUACAGGCGUGCACGACAAUGCCCAGCUACUAUACUUUUGGAUGGAGGAAAUUUGGAGCACAAAGAUAAAAUAAUUUGAUUCAUUUCUACUGCCAAUUAUAAUCAAUUCUAAUUCUUGGUGUUCCUAAUGAGGCUUAGAAUUUACUAAUCCUAAAAGAAGCAAUAAAUGUUGAAUAAUUUUAAUAAAAGUAUGGGAUAUAUGUUCUUCAGGUGUCUAUUAUCCUCCUUAUCCCAGCCCUCUUAGAAGUAUGGACUACUAGUAAAGGUAUAACUAGUGAUUUUUUUAUGGAUCUCCAAAUUAUCUGAGAGAAAAUUGAGUUUUACAAAGGUUAAAUAGCAUAUUUAAGGCCAUACAAAUGGUACAGGGAAGAGGUAGGAUUUCAACAUCAGACCCUAAAAUUCACUCUGACAACCUCACCCUUGUCUUUGGUUUUGAUACAAAAGCACUGAAGCACUUAUAUCUUAGGGCACACAUUGUGCUAGGUUCCUCCUUCAAGUCUCCUUCUGCUUUGUCUCUCUCUGUUAUUCCCCUCUGAAAACCUUGAUUUAGAAUACAGUGCCUGGCAUGCAGAAGAAUGGGAUGAGGUCUUCCUGGUGCUCUGGGUGUAGUAGUAGGGGGAAGAGUAAAUCUUAUAAUUUUGGAUAUUGGCUUGUUCCCAAUUGUUGAGAAUUAUCAGUCAGACUCUUUAAAUAAAGUGAUUCCAUUAGAUUAUACUGGUUCCUAGUUUUCAGCUUCCCUCUGUCUCCUUUUCUGUUUCUCUGCUCUAACACACCUCAGCAGCCAGGGCUUAUCAUCUUUGCCUAUGAUGUCUUGGCCUCCUACUCCAGUCUUUCCUAGUUUAUUCCAGCCCAUCAAAGAGGGUGAAUCCAGACUCCAGACUUUACUCUUCCCAGGCCACCUCAUCAUCCCUUAAGUCCUCACAGCAGCAGGGAUUCUCUUUCUGAGAUAUUUACAUACCAAGAAAGGAAAGUAGAUCAUCCUGAAGGACAUUGGAGAGAACCUGGGGCAGAAUAUGAGAGGAGGUAGGUCACCUCUUCCCAGCUGAGCUCUAGAAAUCCCAAUUAUGGAGGCAUCAAAGAUGAGAGCAGGCACUGAUGGGAAAGCUGUGCUUCCUAGAUUUGAUGUGCUGGUCCACUGGGUGUCCUGUAUAAUGUAGAUUUGGCUUCAGGAUUAGGCCUAGUCUUGCAGUUUGAGUGUUGAGGAAUUAGAAGGCGUUGAAAUUUCUGGCUCAGGUAUCUCUUCCUCACCUUUCAGGUCUCAGGAGCAAUAGGCUACAACAUUUUCUUUCUGCUAGUGACAAAGGAAGGGCUUGAGUGGGACAUCUUCCUGAAUAAGGCCAAUGUAGUUUAUGUUGCAAAGAAAGCCUGAGAGAGCUCUGGAGCUUCCAUGAAACUGAGUGGAGGAUGAAGAGAAAGACUGUUCCACUGAUAAGUAAAAUAUAGAGAUCCCUCUGUAUGCAGGGGAAUUGGGUUCAGGGUACCUGUUACUCUCCUACUUGAAGAUCCCAAGGUCUAAGGAUGUGCAAAUCCCCUAUAUAAAAUGGAAUAGCAUUUGUAUGUAAUCCUUGGAUAUCCUCCUGUAGAUUUUAAUCAACUUCAGAUUACUUUAAUACCUAUUAGAGUGUAAAUGCUCCAUAAAUAAUUUCUGUACUAUGUUGUUCAGGUCCAUGUUCGGGGUUAUUUUCCAUGUAGAGUUGGUGGAACCCAGUGUUGUGGAACCCAUGAAAACAGAAGGAUGACUGUGCACAUAGAAUCUGCCUAUGUUCUUAACUUGGGUAGUUAAUGAGGAUAUAAGCAGAGCCAUCCAUGCAGCCUAAAGAGAAGCUUGUCUCUGACUCAUUCACACAUAGAAAAUGUGGAGUCAGUUCCUGGUAUCAUGAUGACUUACAUGUAAACUGCUCUUCCAAGCUCAAAAACAAAACAAAACAAACAAACAAACAGAAAGUGACUUUGCCAAUUACCUAAGCUAAUUAACCUGUAUGAUUUUUCUCAAGAAUGGUUAUCAGUCAAUCAAGGGCUAUCAAAUAUCUGGCAAAA